rnacentral:rRNA from 1 species
GAUGAACGCUGGCGGCGUGCUUAACACAUGCAAGUCGAACGGGGAACACGGAGCUUGCUCUGUGGGAUCAGUGGCGAACGGGUGAGUAACACGUGAGCAACCUGCCCCUGACUCUGGGAUAAGCGCUGGAAACGGCGUCUAAUACGGGAUAUGUGACGUGAUCGCAUGGUCUGCGUCUGGAAAGAAUUUCGGUUGGGGAUGGGCUCGCGGCCUAUCAGCUUGUUGGUUAGGUAGUGGCUCACCAAGGCGUCGACGGGUAGCCUGCCUGAGAGGGUGACCGGACAAACCGGACCUGAGCCACGGCACAGCCUAGACCGGGAGGCAGCAGUGGAGAAUAUUGCAUAAUGGGCUCAAGCCUGACGCAGUCACGCCGCGUGAGGGAUGACGGCCUUCGGGUUGUAAACCUAUUUUAGCAGAGAAGAAGCGAAAGUGACGGUACCGGCAGAAAAAGCGCCGGCUAACUACGUG